CGGGACGUGGUGACAUGGUAGACACGCUUGGUUUAGGCCCAAGUGCCGUAAAAAGCUUGGAAGUUCGAAUCUUCUCGUCCUGA
rnacentral:tRNA from 1 species